AGGGUAAGCUACUAAGGGCACACGGUGGAUGCCUUGGCGCCAGGAGCCGAUGAAGGACGGGACGAACACCGAUAUGCCUCGGGGAGCUGUAAGUAAGCUUGGAUCCGAGGAUUUCCGAAUGGGGGAACCCACCAGUUGGAAGAACUGGUACCGCCAUCUGAAUCCAUAGGAUGGCAGGAGGCAGACCAGGGGAACUGAAACAUCUAAGUACCCUGAGGAAGAGAAAGCAAAAGCGGUUCCCGUGAAAGUGGGAGCCGAAAGCGAUUCCCUGAGUAGCGGCGAGCGAAACGGGAACAGCCCAAACCGAUUGGCUUUGCCAAUCGGGGUUGCAGGACGUCCCGUACGGAGUAAGAAAGGCAACGGACAGGUGAAGUGGAUCUGGAAAGACCGGCCACAGAAGGUAACAGCCCUGUAACCGAAAUCCGCAGCCCUCCGGGACGGAUCCUGAGUACCACGGGACACGGGAAACCCCGUGGGAAGCAGGGAGGACCACCUCCCAAGGCUAAAUACUCCCUGGCGACCGAUAGUGAACCAGUACCGUGAGGGAAAGGUGAAAAGCACCCCGGGAGGGGAGUGAAACAGAACCUGAAACCGUGUGCUUACAAGCAGUCGGAGUCCCCGAGCCGCCCCACAAAGUAUUACUUUGCGGGGAACCCCGGCAGGGAUGACGGCGUGCCUUUUGUAGAAUGAACCGGCGAGUAACGGUUGCAUGCAAGGUUAAGGCGGGAAGCCGGAGCCGCAGCGAAAGCGAGUCUGAACAGGGCGAGAGAGUAUGCAGCCGUUGACCCGAAACCGAGUGAUCUACCCAUGUCCAGGGUGAAGUUCCGGUAACACGGAAUGGAGGCCCGAACCUGUUGGUGCUGAAAAACCAUAGGAUGAGGUGUGGGUAGGGGUGAAAUGCCAAUCGAACUCGGAGAUAGCUGGUUCUCCCCGAAACAGCUUUAGGGCUAGCCUCGGAAGCGAAGUCAUGGAGGUAGAGCACUGAUUGGGCUAGGGGCCCCCACAGGGUUACCGAACUCAGUUAAACUCCGAAUGCCAUCGACUUGUCCUCCGGGAGUCAGACUGCGAGUGCGAAGAUCCGCAGUCAAGAGGGAAACAGCCCAGACCACCAGCUAAGGUCCCGAAGUAACCGUUAAGUGGCAAAGGAUGUGGAGUUGCCCAGACAACCAGGAUGUUGGCUUAGAAGCAGCCACCAUUCAAAGAGUGCGUAAUAGCUCACUGGUCAAGUGACUCUGCGCCGAAAAUGUAACGGGGCUAAACGGUUCACCGAAGCUGUGGAUGUUGCCGCAUUCACUCUGUCUUUCAUUCUUUUCGUCGGCGAAGGAACAUUCGCCGAAAACACCUGUGAAAGCUGGAGUGAAUGUGGCGACAUGGUAGGGGAGCGUUCCAGGCAGCAGCGAAGCUGCUUCGCGAGAAGUGGUGGAGCGCCUGGAAGUGAGAAUGCCGGUAUGAGUAGCGAAAAGAAGGGUGAGAAUCCCUUCCACCGAAAGCCUGAGGGUUCCUGAGGAAGGUUCGUCCGCUCAGGGUUAGUCGGGACCUAAGCCGAGGCCGAAAGGCGUAGGCGAUGGACAACAGGUUGAAAUUCCUGUACCACCUGAUUCCGUUUGCACGAUGGGGGGACGCAGGAGGGUAGAGAAUCGCGCGACUGGAUGUGCGCGUCCAAGCAGUGAGGCUGAAGGGAUUGGCAAAUCCGUUCCUUCAAGGCCAGGCUGUGAUGGCGAGGGAAAAUUGCAGUACCGAAGUUCUUGAUCUCACACUGCCAAGAAAAGCCUCUAUGGAGGUUUCAGGUGCCCGUACCGUAAACCGACACAGGUAGGCGAGGAGAGAAUCCUAAGGUGCUCGGGAGAACUCUCGUUAAGGAACUCGGCAAAAUGACCCCGUAACUUCGGGAGAAGGGGUGCCCCGUCAGGGUGAAAGCCCGAGGGGGCCGCAGUGAAGAGGCCCAGGCGACUGUUUAGCAAAAACACAGGUCUCUGCAAAGCCGCAAGGCGAAGUAUAGGGGCUGACGCCUGCCCGGUGCUGGAAGGUUAAGGGGAAAAGUCAGCUUGACCCCCCAAAAAGUAUUACUUUUUGGGGAGCCUGUCAGGCGAAGCUUUGAACCGAAGCCCCAGUAAACGGCGGCCGUAACUAUAACGGUCCUAAGGUAGCGAAAUUCCUUGUCGGGUAAGUUCCGACCCGCACGAAAGGCGUAACGAUCUGGGCGCUGUCUCAACGAGAGACCCGGUGAAAUUGUAGUACCAGUGAAGAUGCUGGUUACCCGCGACAAGACGGAAAGACCCCGUGGAGCUUUACUGCAACCUGAUAUUGAAUCCAGGUACGACUUGUACAGGAUAGGUGGGAGUCGGCGAAGCCGGAGCGCCAGCUUCGGUGGAGACAUCGGUGGGAUACCACUCUGGUCGUAUCGGGGUUCUAACUCACCGCCGUCAUCCGGCGGGAGGACCGUGUCAGGCAGGCAGUUUGACUGGGGCGGUCGCCUCCUAAAAGGUAACGGAGGCGCUCCAAGGUUCCCUCAGCGCGGUCGGAAAUCGCGCUUUCAGAGUGCAAAGGCAGAAGGGAGCUUGACUGCGAGACCGACAAGUCGAGCAGGGACGAAAGUCGGACUUAGUGAUCCGGUGGUUCCGUGUGGAUGGGCCAUCGCUCAACGGAUAAAAGCUACCCCGGGGAUAACAGGCUUAUCUCCCCCAAGAGUCCACAUCGACGGGGAGGUUUGGCACCUCGAUGUCGGCUCAUCGCAUCCUGGGGCUGAAGUAGGUCCCAAGGGUUGGGCUGUUCGCCCAUUAAAGCGGUACGCGAGCUGGGUUCAGAACGUCGUGAGACAGUUCGGUCCCUAUCUGUCGCGGGCGCAGGAAAUUUGAGAGGAGCUGUCCCUAGUACGAGAGGACCGGGAUGGACGCACCUCUGGUGUACCAGUUGUUCCGCCAGGAGCACCGCUGGGUAGCCAGGUGCGGACGGGAUAAGCGCUGAAAGCAUCUAAGCGCGAAGCCCCCCUCAAGAUGAGAUUUCCCAUUCCUUCGUGGAAGUAAGACCCCUUGCAGAUGACAAGGUAGAUCGGUCCGGGGUGUAAGCACAGCAAUGUGUUCAGCUGACGGAUACGAAUCGGUCGAGGGCUUUCCCUG
rnacentral:rRNA from 1 species